rnacentral:lncRNA from 1 species
AUGGUGGAAAGGAGACUGUCUUUAAACUACAAGGAUAUUCCAAGGCCAAGAAGGGAGAGAGAAUGCUUCUCCACACGGGACAUGGAUAAAGCUGUUAUGCUUGGCAUGCUACCUCUAGGCUGCAAUGGGAAGAGGAUCCACUGGAGCCAGUACGCCUCCAAGAGAAAAACAAAGCAAAACAAUACAAGGAACCAGAGGUUCACUAGCAGAAAUGAUUUGAACAAGUUUACCGUUUCAUUUGUGAGGAUGUCUAAAGGCCCAACAAGUUAAUGCAGAAUUUCUGGCUUGAACUGCUGCCAAGGACCUGCUGACAUUUUGCUCUAAUGCUACUGGACCACUGGGACACCUCCAGAUAAUUGACAUAGCCCGGCGUCUAACGUAAUAUUAACAGUUAAAAAAGAGCAAGUAUCUUACAGAGACCAAGGGUAACAUUUUUGCACCUGAGAGGUGCUAGCUCUGUAGGCAAAUCAGUGUUUCUAAAUCUAACCCAAG